CCUUUUGUAUAAUGGGUCAGCGACUUAUAUUCUGUAGCAAGGUUAACCGUAUAGGGGAGCCGGAGGGAAACCGAGUCUUAACCGGGCGUUAAGUUGCAGGGUAUAGACCCGAAACCCGGUGAUCUAGCCAUGGGCAGGUUGAAGGUUGGGUAACACUAACUGGAGGACCGAACCGACUAAUGUUGAAAAAUUAGCGGAUGACCUGUGGCUGGGGGUGAAAGGCCAAUCAAACCGGGAGAUAGCUGGUUCUCCCCGAAAGCUAUUUAGGUAGCGCCUCGUGAAUUCAUCUCCGGGGGUAGAGCACUGUUUCGGCUAGGGGGCCAUCCCGGCUUACCAACCCGAUGCAAACUGCGAAUACCGGAGAAUGUUAUCACGGGAGACACACGGCGGGUGCUAACGUCCGUCGUGAAGAGGGAAACAACCCAGACCGCCAGCUAAGGUCCCAAAGUCAUGGUUAAGUGGGAAACGAUGUGGGAAGGCCCAGACAGCCAGGAUGUUGGCUUAGAAGCAGCCAUCAUUUAAAGAAAGCGUAAUAGCUCACUGGUCGAGUCGGCCUGCGCGGAAGAUGUAACGGGGCUAAACCAUG
rnacentral:rRNA from 1 species